rnacentral:sRNA from 1 species
ACUCAACAAGUUUCUAUUAAAAAAAGUGAGUCUUUGUUUUGAAAGCAAGCUGCCACCGAGCAGAUCCUUGACCAGCAAGUUAGCUUUAAACCUGUUUUUUGGAGUUU